UACGGAGGGGGCUAGCGUUGUUCGGAAUUACUGGGCGUAAAGCGCGCGUAGGCGGAUCUGCAAGUCGGGGGUGAAAUCCCGAGGCUCAACCUCGGAACUGCCUUCGAUACUGCGGGUCUCGAGUCCGGGAGAGGUGAGUGGAAUUCCUAGUGUAGAGGUGAAAUUCGUAGAUAUUAGGAAGAACACCAGUGGCGAAGGCGGCUCACUGGCCCGGUACUGACGCUGAGGCGCGAAAGCUAGGGGAGCAAACAGG
rnacentral:rRNA from 1 species